rnacentral:rRNA from 1 species
UACAGAGGUCCCGAGCGUUGUUCGGAUUCAUUGGGCGUAAAGGGUGCGUAGGUGGCGCCGUAAGUCGGGUGUGAAAUUUCGGAGCUUAACUCCGAAACUGCAUUCGAUACUGCGGUGCUUGAGGACUGGAGAGGAGACUGGAAUUCAUGGUGUAGCAGUGAAAUGCGCAGAUAUCAGGAGGAACACCGGUGGCGAAGGCGGGUCUCUGGGCCGAUACUGACGCUGAGGAGCGAAAGCGUGGGGAGCGAACAGG